rnacentral:rRNA from 1 species
UACGGGAGGCAGCAGUUGGGAUAUAUUGGACAAUGGGCGCGAGCCUGAUCCACCCAUUCCGCGUGAGUGAUGAAGGCCUUAGGGUCGUAAAGCUCUUUCCCCGGUGAAGAUAAUGACGGUANCCGGAGAAGAAGCCCCGGCUAACUUUGUGCCAGCAGCCGCGGUAAUAUGAAGGGGGCUAGCGGUGUUCGGAAUUACUGGGCGUAAAGCGCACGUAGGCGGAUAUUUAAGUCAGGGGUGAAAUACCAGAGUUCAACUCUGGAACUACCUUUGAUACUUGGUAUCUUAAGUAUGGACGAGGUAAGUGGAAUUUCGCGCCAGAGAUUAAAUUCGUCCCUCUUCGCAGGAACUUCAGCGCCCAAGAAGGC